rnacentral:rRNA from 1 species
UACGGAGGGUGCAAGCGUUGUCCGGAUUUAUUGGGUUUAAAGGGUGCGUAGGCGGGGUCUUAAGUCAGUGGUGAAAGCCGGCAGCUCAACUGUCGAAUUGCCAUUGAUACUGGGGUCCUUGAAUUCAGUUGAGGUAUGCGGAAUUGAUGGUGUAGCGGUGAAAUGCAUAGAUACCAUCAGGAACACCGAUUGCGAAGGCAGCAUACUGGGCUUGAAUUGACGCUGAGGCACGAAAGUGUGGGGAUCGAACAGGAUUAGAUACCCUGGUAGUCCACACUGUAAACGAUGAUCACUCGCUGUUGGCGAUACACAGUCAGCGGCCAAGCGAAAGCGUUAAGUGAUCCACCUGGGGAGUACGCUCGCAAGAGUG